GUUAAUCAUAGGGCCUAAAAACUCUGCUUGUAAUAACCUAGAACACUGUCUAAGACUUGAUGGUUGCUCUGUCAAUUCUUCGUCAUCAGUUAGGAACCUAGGUGUGCUACUUGAUCGCAAUCUUUCCUUAGAAAGCCACGUUUCUAGCAUUUGUAAAACUGCAUUUUUCCAUCUCAAAAAUAUAUCUAAAUUACGGCCUAUGCUCUCAAUGUCAAAUGCAGAAAUGUUAAUCCAUGCAUUUAUGACUUCAAGGUUAGACUAUUGCAAUGCUUUAUUGGGUGGUUGUUCUGCACGCUUGGUAAACAAACUACAGCUAGUCCAAAAUGCAGCAGCAAGAGUUCUUACAGGAACCAGGAAGUAUGACCAUAUUAGCCCGGUCCUGUCAUCGCUGCACUGGCUCCCUAUCAAACAUCGUAUAGAUUUUAAAAUAUUGCUUAUUACUUAUAAAGCCCUGAAUGGUUUAGCACCUCAGUAUUUGAAUGAGCUCCUUUUACAUUAUACUCCUCUACGUCCGCUACGUUCUCAAAACUCAGGCAAUUUGAUAAUACCUAGAAUAUCAAAAUCAACUGCGGGCGGCAGAUCCUUUUCCUAUUUGGCGCCUAAACUCUGGAAUAACCUACCUAACAUUGUUCGGGAGGCAGACACACUCUUGCAGUUUAAAUCUAGAUUGAAGACCCAUCUCUUUAACCUGGCAUACACAUAACAUACUAAUAUACUUUUAAUAUCCAAAUCCGUUAAAGGAUUUUUAGGCUGCAUUAAUUAGGUAAACUGGAACCGGAACACUUCACAUAACACCGUACUUUCUACAUCAUUAGAAGAAUGGCAUCUACGCUAAUAUUUGUCUGUUUCUCUCUUGUUCCGAGGUCACCGUGGCCACCAGAUCCAGUCUGUGUCCAGAUCAGAGGGUCACUGCAGUCACCCGGAUCCAGUACAUAUCCAGACCAGAUGGUGGAUCAGCACCUAGAAAGGACCUCUACUGCCCUGAAAGACAGCGGAGACCAGGACAACUAGAGCCCCAGAUACAGAUCCCCUGUAAAGACCUUGUCUCAGAGGAGCACCAGGACAAGCCCACAGGAAACAGAUGAUUCUUCUGCACAAUCUGACUUUGCUGCAGCCUGGAAUUGAACUACUGGUUUCGUCUGGUCAGAGGAGAACUGGCCCCCCAACUGAGCCUGGUUUCUCCCAAGGUUUUUUUCUCCAUUCUGUCACCGAUGGAGUUUCGGUUCCUUGCCGCUGUCACCUCUGGCUUGCUUAGUUGGGGUCACUUCAUCUACAGCGAUAUCAUUGACUUGAUUGCAAAUUAAAACAGACACUAUUUCAACUGAACAGAGAUGACAUAACUGAAUUCAAUGAUGAACUGCCUUUAACUAUCAUUUUGCAUUAUUGAGACACUGUUUUCCAAAUGAAUGUUGUUCAGUGCUUUGGCGCAAUGUAUUUUGUUUAAAUCACUAUAUAAAUAAAGGUGAUUGAUUGAUUGAUCAA